rnacentral:rRNA from 1 species
GAUGAACGCUGGCGGCGUGCCUAAUACAUGCAAGUCGAGCGAACGGACGAGAAGCUUGCUUCUCUGAUGUUAGCGGCGGACGGGUGAGUAACACGUGGAUAACCUACCUAUAAGACUGGGAUAACUUCGGGAAACCGGAGCUAAUACCGGAUAAUAUUUUGAACCGCAUGGUUCAAAAGUGAAAGACGGUCUUGCUGUCUCUUAUAGAUGGAUCCGCGCUGCAUUAGCUAGUUGGUAAGGUAACGGCUUACCAAGGCAACGAUGCAUAGCCGACCUGAGAGGGUGAUCGGACACACUGGAACUGAGACACGGUCCAGACUCCUACGGGAGGCAGCAGUAGGGAAUGUUCCGCAAUGGGCGAAAGACUGACGGAGCAACGCCGCGUGAGUGAUGAAGGUCUGCGGAUCGUAAAACUCUGUUAUUAGGGAAGAACAUAUGUGUAAGUAACUGUGCACAACUUGACGGUAACUAAUCAGAAAGCAACGGCUAACUACGUG